ensembl:lncRNA
AUGGGUACUUGCGGGCACCACUUCGGUGAGCCUCUCGCUUGGGGGAUCUUGGCCUGGGCCCAGAGGUCUGGAGAGGGGGCCCCUAGCCAAGCUCCAUCGGCCCAGCGGGAACUACAUUACCCAGAUGUCUCAGCGCCGCGCGUCCACGGCACUGCGCCAAUGAAGGCCAAGGAGAAAGCCGCUUUAAAUACUUUGCGCAACCUGUUCUGGCGGGGUUUCCGGCGUCCACCUGAAGAGGGUCACUUUGGCGACCUUUGGGUCGGUCCGGUUGAUCCAGUUCUGCACUCUUGGUCCGGCCUGAGACAGUGGAGCAUUCUUGGGUGAAGUCCCGAUUUCUGACACCCACCGUGAUGAGAAAACUGUUACAUGCAGAGGGACCAGCAUGUGCUGAGCAAUGGAAUCGCGACUGAGGAGCAUGCGGGAAACAUUGUGAAUGGACAAGCCGUUUCCAUGGUUUCAGAAGCAUUUAUGAGCCAUGCACAGGCCUGCAGUUCCUCUUGCUUCUGGUGUCUUCUCCUUGGUGGGUGGAGCUGGAUUUUGUUCUUCUGGGGGUCAGGACUAUGUCAAGAGGUAUGUUUAAAGGUGACUGCAAGCUUGUCUGUGUUUAAUUUUGGGGGGGUGGUUGUUUAAUGGAUGUCUCUCAGUUUUCCUCUUUGCAUGCCAGCCUCUAUCCCUCUGAUAGGAGGUGUAACUGAUGGUGUGGUGACCAGAACCUCUGACCCUUAUUGAGUUGGGCCUCCCCUUUGCUCUGUGGUUGUCAAUGGCCUUUCAGGGGCAGGGUCUGCUCCCUAAUGAUUGGAACAGUAGCCCCCAGAUAUUCCUGAGCUAUAUGUUUUUUGGUUGUGGCACGAGGUAGGUAGGAUUGGAGCACUCCCACUAGGAGGAGCCCCCUCAGGGUUCCUCCACUGGAGCUGUUCACAGUUUGCUCUGUUGUGUCACCUUUCACCCCUUGUGUGGAUUCACAGAGUACACCACUGGCACCACUGCUAUGCCAGGGUAUAAUUGGCCCUGGUGUUUCCCAGGCAUUGGUUUCAUCUGCCCACCAGUGCAGAUCUACUGAGGUCAGGUCCAAGAUUGCAGUGGUUGUGUACCUGGCCCACUGUGGGCUCUAUGGAGAAAGCCUAGACUCUGUUCCAGAUCUAAAUUACAUGCUUGCAAAGCCCACAGCUGCUAAAGCCAGACCUGUCUGAGCUGUGGGGGCUUAUUGUCCAUUUGGAUAUUCCACAAGUGCUGAAUUUACAAAGCUGCGAGUGGAGGUGUAAAUCUGUUGUUCACAAGGCUGGGAGGAGUGACUGCAGUUCAUCCUCAGUUGGAGAACCCGGAGUCAAGUGUGGUUUCAGCCCCCUCUCUGUGUGGGCAACACACUGGAGACUCCUCCCAAGGCAGCAGGAGCUCAGGAGCCUAUCCAGGUGGGAAGAGGAUGGGGCAGCAUCUGGUUGUACAAGCCUACCCAGAAGGGAGGUGGGCUGGGGAUCAGGCGCUCAGGCUCACUUUGGCAGGAGUGGGCUUGCCUGAGUUUGUGCUGAGUGAAUCUGCCCCUAGUGUAAGCAGGCUGGAGUCAGGUAAUGGAAAUUCACUCCAGUGGCAGAGCUGGCACAAUGGUCUUGGUGGGCAGGCCAGCCCUAUUGCAGCCUCUCCUAGGCUGCAGGGGCCUCCAUGUGCAAGGGGGCUACAGUGGUUGCUCCUUGCACAUCAUCCAGUAAUGAUGCUCCGUCUCUGUGGUUGUCUGGGCCUACCCCCAGAACCUUUGCAGCUAUGGUGCUUUGCCCUCCCACCCCUUCCAGUUGCCUCUGCCUAGCCAACUGCAGUUCUGUCCCUGGGCCUGCUCUCCAAACGUGACACUCCAGGCCCGGGCCCCUGCCCACAUCAGUGGUUGGGAGUCUCAGGCUGGGGCACACAAGGCUGUGACAAGGAUAUCAGUCUAGGUCUCACUGUCCCACCUGCUGUAGACCAGCUGCUGUGUUUUUUUCUCUGAGCCUCCAAAGGACCUUUCCUGUCCCAGCUGACCCCUCUGCUGGUGAGGUGACUUCCCCAGGUAUAGGAACCUCUCUUCCCCUUCAGCUCCCUCCCUGGGGUACAGGUGCUGACUUGUUUCCAUUUCUCAUCUCUUUUUUUUUUUUUCCCCCUUUCAUAGAAGAUCCCUCUUGUACUUUCAGGUGUUUUGAGUUUUUCUGUCGGUGUUCAGUCACUGUCCCCUAAGGAGUGUUCCACUUGUAGAUGUAUUCCCAGUGUAUUUGUGGGAAGAGGUGAUCUUCAUUUAUCUCUCUCCUUCAUGAGUUUCCAGUAACCAGUCCUCCAUAUUGUUUCCUUAAAAAGUACAAGCCUGUGAGAAGUAGUUCUGGCUUUUCAAGGAACAUGCACUCGGGGAUACCAAGGGGCAAAAAAGAACAUGGAUGCCAGUUUUCCAGGUGCCUCAAGAGUCUUAUACAUCUAUGUGUAAUGAUGCACAUGUGCAGGAGUUCUACUUGUAAUUCUUUUUAUGAGCGAGCAGAAUGACUAGAUUGAAGACACCUAUUUACAGAGCAUUUACAUUGUAUUAGGCAUUAUAGGUAAUCUGCAGAUGGUUUCAAGUACUAGGAGGAAAUUCAUAGGUUAUACCCAAGUACAAUGCUAUUUCUAUAUAAGGGGAUUGAGCAUCUGCAGAAUUUGGUAUCUGCAGGAAUUCCUAGAACCAAUCCCUUGCAAAUACGAAUGGACAACUAUAUUUAGCAACCAGGAUCUAGGUGCUGGGAGGGUUUGUUGCUGCAGUGUUGCUUCUAGACCCUCUCAGAACAGACCUGAGGAAUAUAGGUGUGUAUGAUUAUUUCUCAGCUCUAGUCAAGUACAACAUGAUUCCUCCUAGUUUUCCAUCCUUAUUUAUAACUUCUUUUUCUGACCAUGACAAAACUGGCUUCCAUUAUCUAUAAUUUAUUGACUUAGUUUCUCAACUUGAUUAUAAAUGUAAAGUAGCAUCCCUGGGAAAUUAAUUUAUCUACUAGACUAUACUGUUUAUGAACAAUUUUUUUGUCUUUCACUUUAUAGUUUGCAGUCAAAACACCUGGCUGCUUGUUCACUGCCUGCCCCAGUGCCAACUGGAGCACAUGCAUAUGACGGGCCCCCAACACUGUACAAAUUCCCACAACUAGUUUUUUAACUGUGCCACAUCCAUGCUGCUCCCCAGCCAGCACAGAUGCAUGCAGCUGGUCUUGACUCCCAUUUUUGGCUUUCACUGUGGCAUGCAUGCAUACAGGCUGCCUACCAUGGACCCAACACUGGCCUAUAUGCCACAGUUACACACCUGCACCUGGUCCUUGUGACUGUACACAUAUAUGCCAAGAGCUUCAGUCGUCCAGCUACACAUAUACCCCCGGUCAUUAUGCGUGUGCCUGCAGUUGAACCUUGCUACCAUACACACAUCUGUAGCCAGCCCACAGCUGAGCACAUGCCCAUCUCAGGCCCUGCCACCAAUGCCACCUGCCCUGGUCCUCCACUACUGGAGGCACUGAUGAGGACCCUAAAAGCCCUUGCAAAUCUCUUUGAACCUGUCAGCUCUUGCAGCUAAGGACCAGAAAGUUGCACACCAAAGCUGCCUGAACCUACAAGACACCACACUGCCCCAGCCAUGGAGCCCACCACACCCUGCCCAGACUUGUUUCCCCAGGCUACUACCCUGGGGACCACAGUGUGCUCCAGCACUAGCAUCUGUCCCCCAACCCACAGGUGAAGGCUUUUCCGUACUAAAGCCAGUCCAUGAAGUCUGGAUGAAGUGAAUGUUUCUUCAGAUGUCCAGACACAUGCAAAACUACAAGGAUCACAAAGUAUUAGGGAAACAUGACAUCACCACAAGUACAUAGUAAGCUUCCAGUAACUGACACUAAAGAAAUGGAGAUCUGUGAACUGCCUGACAAAAUUAAAAAUCAUUAUACUAAAGAUACUCAGAGAGCUACAAGAGAACAUACACCAUUUGAUGAAAUCAGAAAUACAAGAACAAAAUGAGAAGUUCAACAAACAGAAAAAAGAACCAGAUAUUUUGGAGCUAAAGAAUACAACGAAUGAAGUAAAAUAUGCAACAGAGAGAGCUGCAACAGAAGCCUCCAUUAAGUCGAGGAAGCAAACGGACACCACCUAGAUCUGUCAGAGAUGGGGAUAUCUAGGUACAUAAAGCUCAGAGGUCCCAGUCAGGUUCAACCCAAAUAAGAUUUCACUGAUACACCACCUUAAAAUCAAACUACCAAAAUUCCAAGACAGAAUUUUGAAAGCAGCAAGAGGAAAGAGGCUCAUCACAUGCAAGGGAACAUCCCCCAUCUCCCCACAUAGAGCUCUGUAGUUUUCAGCAGAAACUCUGAAGCCUAAAGAGAGUGGGUAGAUAAUAUUCAAAAUGCUGGGGGGAAAACAGACUAACCCAGCAAAGCUGUUCUUCAGAACUGAAGCAGAGAUAUUCUCAGUCAAACAAAAGAUAAAGAAGUUCAUCAACACCGGUCCUGCCCUAAAAGAUAUUUUAACAGGAGUUCUUUGAGCUGGAAAAAAAAAUGACACUGGUCAGUAACAUGUAAACAUAUGAAAGUAAAAACUCAUCGGUAAAGGUGAAAAUAUAGUCAGGCUCAGAAGACUUUAAUAUGGUAAAGAUGUAAAUUAUUGUUUAACAAAAUAAUCAAAAGUCCAAAGUAUUAAAAAUAACUAGCUAUUAAAGGAUAUACAAUAUAAAAAGGUGUAAACUGUGAUAUCAAAAAAAAAAAAGCCCAUAAAAAGGACAAGGUGUAAAAAUGUAGAGCUUUUGUAUGUGAUGAAAGUUAGGUUGUUAUCCGCUUAAAAUACUCUUAGAGCUAUAAGACUACAAGACAUGUUAUGUACAAUGUUUUAUGUAAGCCAGAUGGUAAGCACAAGAGAAAAGUCUAUAGUAGGCACAUAACAGUAAAGACAAAUGAAGCAAAAUGUAACACUGUAGCAAGUUCCCAGAUCCCAACAGAAGACCUGGAGGGAAGAGGAGAGAAGCAAAGAUUAUAGGGAACACCCAUUUAACAAAAUGGCAGUAUUACUGUCAAGGAUACUUUAAAGGAAGGGAUGGAAAAAGAUAUUCUAUGUAACUAGCAAACGAAAGAAAGCAGCAGUAGUUAUACAGACCAUAUAAUAUAGACUUUAAGUCAAAACUGUAGAGAUAAUGAUAAAGGAGUCAGUUCAACAGGGGAAAUAAUUAUAACUAUAUACGCAUGCAACAUUGGAACACCUAGAUAUAUAAAACAAAACUGGGGGCAUCCAAUUUCCUCAUUUCAAAACAGAGUACCAAAUUACAGUAUCAAAAUAGUAGAAACACAGGCAGAAGAAAAAUGGAACAAAAUAGCAGAAAUAAACACAAACAUUUAUAUUUAACUGAUCUUCAAUAAGUGUGCCAAGAAUAUACAACAGAAGAAAGGAUAGUCCUUUCAAUAAAUGGUGUUGGGAAAUCUGGAUAUCUUCAUGCAAAACAAUAACAACAGCAACAACAAAACGGACCUCUGCCUCAUACCAUCACAAAAAAUAAACAAAAUGGAUUAAAGAUUCAAUUGUUACAUCUGAAAUGGUAAAACUCCUAGAAUAAGCAGGGGAAAACCUUUCUUUUUUUUUCAGUUGGAGAGAACAUGGUUUAAUUAAAGGCAAAGCUGAUUUCAGCAGCUGCAGGGCUUGCACAGACAGGCCAAAACAAAAUGGAAAAAAACAAAAACAACAAAAACGAAACUUUACUACACAAAACCAGUUUCUGAUAAAGAUUCUCCUCUCCCUCAUUACUCCACACUGAGGAUGAUAAGGUGAGGAACCCCGCCCCAGGAAGGGGAAAACCUUUCUAAGAGUCUCUGCAAUGAUUUCUUGAAUGUGACACCAAAAGCAUAGGAAAAGCAAAAAUAGGUAAGUGGAACUACAUUACUUUCUGCACAGCAAACGAAUCCAUCAAUAGAAUGAAAAGAUAACCUAUGAAAUGGGAGAAAAUAUUGGCAAACCAUAUACCUGCUAAAGGAUUAAUUUCUAAAAUAUAUAAGGAAGUCAUGCAA